rnacentral:tRNA from 1 species
CGGGCGGGUUGCGGAACGAGGCGGCGUCGAUGCGGCCGGACCAGCCGCGCUCGGUAGUCACCCACGGCCGGGGGUCGUUCGGCUUGCCCGCCGCCUGG